ACGACCUUACUUGAACAGGAUCUGUUCUAUAGGAUCCUCUGUGUCCUUGAGUUAUAAGGAGACAGGAACUUGAGUCUGGUGGAUGAAAUCUGGCCGUGUGAUCAGAGCGUAACAGCAUCGCGGUCUUCGGCCGGUGAUGCAGUAGAUAAUCGUUCUCAGCCAUUUGAUGACUGGGGUUCUGACAGACU